CCUACGGGAGGCAGCAGUGAGGAAUAUUGGUCAAUGGGCGCUAGCCUGAACCAGCCAAGUAGCGUGAAGGAUGACUGCCCUAUGGGUUGUAAACUUCUUUUAUAUGGGAAUAAAGUGCAGUAUGUAUACUGCUUUGCAUGUACCUUAUGAAUAAGGAUCGGCUAACUCCGUGCCAGCAGCCGCGGUAAUACGGAGGAUUCGAGCGUUAUCCGGAUUUAUUGGGUUUAAAGGGAGCGUAGGCGGGUUGUUAAGUCAGUUGUGAAAGUUUGCGGCUCAACCGUAAAAUUGCAGUUGAUACUGGCAGCCUUGAGUACAGUAGAGGUAGGCGGAAUUCGUGGUGUAGCGGUGAAAUGCUUAGAUAUCACGAAGAACUCCGAUUGCGAAGGCAGCCUGCUGGACUGUAACUGACGCUGAGGCUCGAAAGUGUGGGUAUCAAACAGGAUUAGAUACCCCAGUAGUC
rnacentral:rRNA from 1 species